UACGUAGGGGGCUAGCGUUGUCCGGAAUCAUUGGGCGUAAAGCGCGUGUAGGCGGUCCGGUAAGUCCGCUGUGAAAGUCGGGGGCUCAACCCUCGAAUGCCGGUGGAUACUGUCGGGCUAGAGUACGGAAGAGGCGAGUGGAAUUCCCGGUGUAGCGGUGAAAUGCGCAGAUAUCAGGAGGAACACCAAUUGCGAAGGCAGCUCGCUGGGACGUUACUGACGCUGAGACGCGAAAGCGUGGGGAGCAAACAGG
rnacentral:rRNA from 1 species